GCUGGCGGCGUGCCUAAUACAUGCAAGUCCUGCGGACCAAAUCGGAGCUUGCUCUGAUUUGGUCAGCGGCGGACGGGUGAGUAACACGUGGGCAACCUGCCCGCAAGACCGGGAUAACUCCGGGAAACCGGAGCUAAUACCGGAUAACACCGAAGACCGCAUGGUCUUUGGUUGAAAGGCGGCCUUUGGCUGUCACUUGCGGAUGGGCCCGCGGCGCAUUAGCUAGUUGGUGAGGUAACGGCUCACCAAGGCGACGAUGCGUAGCCGGCCUGAGAGGGUGACCGGCCACACUGGGACUGAGACACGGCCCAGACUCCUACGGGAGGCAGCAGUAGGGAAUCUUCCGCAAUGGGCGAAAGCCUGACGGAGCGACGCCGCGUGAGCGAAGAAGGCCUUCGGGUCGUAAAGCUCUGUUGUGAGGGACGAAGGAGCGCCGUUUGAACAAGGCGGCGCGGUGACGGUACCUCACGAGGAAGCCCCGGCUAACUACGUGCCAGCAGCCGCGGUAAUACGUAGGGGGCGAGCGUUGUCCGGAAUUAUUGGGCGUAAAGCGCGCGCAGGCGGUCUCUUAAGUCUGAUGUGAAAGCCCACGGCUCAACCGUGGAGGGUCAUUGGAAACUGGGGGACUUGAGUGCAGGAGAGGAGAGCGGAAUUCCACGUGUAGCGGUGAAAUGCGUAGAGAUGUGGAGGAACACCAGUGGCGAAGGCGGCUCUCUGGCCUGCAACUGACGCUGAGGCGCGAAAGCG
rnacentral:rRNA from 1 species